rfam:Salmo salar isolate Sally breed double haploid chromosome ssa26, whole genome shotgun sequence.
AUCACUCAGUACUGUAAACCACUCUGGAUAAGAGCGUCUGCUAAAUGACUAGUA